CCCUCACGCACAGCACACAUACACCGCACACAGCACACAGACACACACAGCACCCUCACACAUACAGCACACGCACAUACAGCACACACAUACAGCACCCUCACACACAGCACACACAUAGCACACACAUACAGCACCUUCACACAUACACCACCCACACACACACACAGUACACACAUACAGCACCCACACACAUACAGCACACAAACAGCACCCUCACACACA